rnacentral:rRNA from 1 species
CGAGCGGAUGAAGGGAGCUUGCUCCUGGAUUCAGCGGCGGACGGGUGAGUAAUGCCUAGGAAUCUGCCUGGUAGUGGGGGAUAACGUCCGGAAACGGGCGCUAAUACCGCAUACGUCCUGAGGGAGAAAGUGGGGGAUCUUCGGACCUCACGCUAUCAGAUGAGCCUAGGUCGGAUUAGCUAGUUGGUGGGGUAAAGGCCUACCAAGGCGACGAUCCGUAACUGGUCUGAGAGGAUGAUCAGUCACACUGGAACUGAGACACGGUCCAGACUCCUACGGGAGGCAGCAGUGGGGAAUAUUGGACAAUGGGCGAAAGCCUGAUCCAGCCAUGCCGCGUGUGUGAAGAAGGUCUUCGGAUUGUAAAGCACUUUAAGUUGGGAGGAAGGGCAGUAAGUUAAUACCUUGCUGUUUUGACGUUACCAACAGAAUAAGCACCGGCUAACUUCGUGCCAGCAGCCGCGGUAAUACGAAGGGUGCAAGCGUUAAUCGGAAUUACUGGGCGUAAAGCGCGCGUAGGUGGUUCAGCAAGUUGGAUGUGAAAUCCCCGGGCUCAACCUGGGAACUGCAUCCAAAACUACUGAGCUAGAGUACGGUAGAGGGUGGUGGAAUUUCUUGUGUAGCGGUGAAAUGCGUAGAUAUAGGA